rnacentral:rRNA from 1 species
GACGAACGCUGGCGGCGUGCUUAACACAUGCAAGUCGAACGAAGUGGCGAACGGGUGAGUAACGCGUAAUCAACCUGCCCUUCAGAGGGGGAAAACAGUUGGAAACGACUGCUAAUACCCCAUACUGAAGGAGGGGAUUGCGGCUGAUUAGCUAGGUGGAGGGGUAACGGCCCACCAAGGCGAUGAUCAGUAGACGGUCUUGGAGGGUGAACGGCCACAUUGGGACUGAGACACGGGCCAGAAUCCUACGGGGGGCAGCAGGGGGGAAACUUCCGCAAUGGACGAAAGUCUGACGGGGCAACGCCGCGGGAGUGAUGACGGCCUUCGGGUUGUAAAGUUCUGUUAAUCGGGACGCGGUACCGGAAUAGAAAGCCACGGCUAACUACGUGCCAGCAGCCGCGGUAAUAC